rnacentral:rRNA from 1 species
GUAGUCAUAUGCUUGUCUCAAAGAUUAAGCCAUGCAUGUCUAAGUAUAAGCACUCUUUUACUGUGAAACUGCGAAUGGCUCAUUAAAUCAGUUAUCGUUUAUUUGAUAGUACCCUACUACAUGGAUACCUGUGGUAAUUCUAGAGCUAAUACAUGCGCAAAACCCCGACUUCGGAAGGGGUGUAUUUAUUAGAUAAAAAACCAAUGCCCUUCGGGGCUCCUUGGUGAUUCAUAAUAACUUCACGAAUCGCAUGGCCUUGCGCCGGCGAUGGUUCAUUCAAAUUUCUGCCCUAUCAACUUUCGAUGGUAGGAUAGUGGCCUACCAUGGUGGCAACGGGUAACGGGGAAU